GACAGCUCACUUGGUAGAGCAUGAGGCUCUUGUUCUCAGGGCCACGGGUUCGAGCCCAUGUCG
rnacentral:tRNA from 1 species